rnacentral:snoRNA from 1 species
UGUCCCUGACCUGGGUAGAGUGGCAUCUGGUUGGUGGUGCCCAUCUCAUAUCAGCCAGGGACAAAGCAACUCCUUGUUCAUCCCAGCUUGGCUUCUGAUCUGUACCCAUGCCUGGUUCAUGCCUUGGACACAUAC